AUUGAACGCUGGCGGCAUGCUUUACACAUGCAAGUCGAACGGCAGCGGGGUAGUGCUUGCACUACUGCCGGCGAGUGGCGCACGGGUGAGUAAUAUAUCGGAACGUACCGAGUAAUGGGGGAUAACCAAUCGAAAGAUUGGCUAAUACCGCAUACGUCCUGAGGGAGAAAGCGGGGGAUCGCAAGACCUCGCGUUAUUCGAGCGGCCGAUAACUGAUUAGCUAGUUGGUGGGGUAAAGUCCUACCAAGGCGACGAUCAGUAGCGGGUCUGAGAGGACGAUCCGCCACACUGGGACUGAGACACGGCCCAGACUCCUACGGGAGGCAGCAGUGGAGAAUUUUGGACAAUGGGGGCAACCCGGAUACAGCCAUGCCGCGUGUAUGAAGAAGGCCUUCGGGUUGUAAAGUACUUUUGUUAGGGAAGAAAAGGGAAGUGCUAAUACCACUUUUUGCUGACGGUACCUAAAGAAUAAGCACCGGCUAACUACGUG
rnacentral:rRNA from 1 species